ACGAACGCUGGCGGCGUGCUUAACCCAUGCAAGUCGAACGGAAAGGCCCUGCUUGCAGGGUACUCGAGUGGCGAACGGGUGAGUAACACGUGGGUGAUCUGCCCUGCACUUCGGGAUAAGCCUGGGAAACUGGGUCUAAUACCGGAUAGGAGCCAUUUUUAGUGUGAUGGUUGGAAAGUUUUUUCGGUGUAGGAUGAGCUCGCGGCCUAUCAGCUUGUUGGUGGGGUAAUGGCCUACCAAGGCGGCGACGGGUAGCCGGCCUGAGAGGGUGGACGGCCACAUUGGGACUGAGAUACGGCCCAGACUCCUACGGGAGGCAGCAGUGGGGAAUAUUGCACAAUGGGCGCAAGCCUGAUGCAGCGACGCCGCGUGGGGGAUGACGGCCUUCGGGUUGUAAACUCCUUUCGCUAGGGACGAAGCUUUUUGUGACGGUACCUAGAUAAGAAGCACCGGCUAACUACGUG
rnacentral:rRNA from 1 species